AAUUUUGGACAAUAGGGGAAACCCUGAUCCAGCCAUCCCGCGUGUAUGAUGAAGGCCUUCGGGUUGUAAAGUACUUUUGGCAGAGAAGAAAAGGUAUCUCCUAAUACGAGAUACUGCUGACGGUAGCUGCAGAAUAAGCACCGGCUACCUACGUGCCAGCAUACGCGGUAAAACGUAGGGUGCAAGCGUUAAUCGGAAUUACUGGGAGUAAAGCGUGUGUAGGCGGUGCGGAAAGAAAGAUGUGAAAUCACAGGGCUCAACAUUGGAACUGCAUUUUUAACUGCCGAGCUAGAGUAUGUCAGAGGGGGGUAGAAUUCCACGUGUAGCAGUGAAAUGCGUAGAGAUGUGGAGGAAUACCGAUGGCGAAGGUAGCCCCCUGGGAUAAUACUGACGCUCAGACACGAAAGCGUGGGGAGCAAACAGG
rnacentral:rRNA from 1 species